rnacentral:rRNA from 1 species
UACGUAGGAUGCAAGCGUUGUCCGGAAUUACUGGGCGUAAAGGGCGAGCAGGUGGCACUACAAGUCUGAUGUAAAAUCUCCCGGCUUAACUGGGAGGGGCCAUUGGAAACUGUAGAGCUGGAGUGCAGGAGAGGCUAACGGAAUUCCCGGUGUAGUGGUGAAAUGCGUAGAUAUCUGGAGGAACACCGGUGGCGAAGGCGGCAUCCUGGACCAACACUGACGCUGAGGAGCGAAAGCCAGGGGAGCAAACGGG